rnacentral:rRNA from 1 species
UACAUGGGGUGCAAACGUUGCUCGGAAUUAUUGGGCGUAAAGCGCACGUAGGCGGAUCGAUCAGUCAGGGGUGAAAUCCCAGAGCUCAACUCUGGAACUGCCUUUGAUACUGUCGAUCUAGAGUAUGGAAGAGGUGAGUGGAAUUCCGAGUGUAGAGGUGAAAUUCGUAGAUAUUCGGAGGAACACCAGUGGCGAAGGCGGCUCACUGGUCCAUUACUGACGCUGAGGUGCGAAAGCGUGGGGAGCAAACAGG